GGACUUUCUUAGAAAAAUAAGGAUUGACAAAAGGGGGGAAACAUGAGAUGUAGAGGGCCCCAUGUCUGUGUUUGCCUUGGGCCCCAAAAUGACUAAAUCCGCCCCUGAUUUCAGGGGCAGCUACAUCAUUUGCAGCC